rnacentral:rRNA from 1 species
CCUACGGGAGGCAGCAGUGAGGAAUAUUGGUCAAUGGGCGAGAGCCUGAACCAGCCAAGUCGCGUGAGGGAGUACUGCCCUAUGGGUUGUAAACCUCUUUUGUCGGGGAGCAAAAGCCGGACGUGUCCGGCUGUGAGAGUACCCUAAGAAAAAGCAUCGGCUAACUUCGUGCCAGCAGCCCCGGUAAUAGGGAGGAUGCGAGUGUUAUCCGGGUUUUUUGGGUUUAAAGGGGGCGCAGGCGGAUUUUUAAGUCAGCGGGAAAAUCGUGGGGCUAAACCCCAUCCAGCCGUUGAAACUGGGGAUCUAGAGUGUGCGAGAGGUAUGCGGAAUGCGUGGUGUAGCGGUGAAAUGCAUAGAUAUCACGCGGAACCCCGAUUGCGAAGGCAGCAUACCGGUGCACAACUGACGCUCAGGCACGAAAGCGUGGGUAUCGAACAGGAUUAGAUACCCCAGUAGUC